rnacentral:lncRNA from 1 species
CAACAACACAUGAAUAAUGAUCCAGCGCCGGCUCAACACCAUGUACAACCAUUGAAUCAAAAUAAACACGGCCUUGUUCAACAAGACCCGCGUGACGACACGAAGAGAGCACUCCAAGAAAAGUAAUAGAAUCAGGUUUUAUCUUCUCUUCCUUCAUCUUUUCAAAAAGAUCAAUAGCCUCCAUUGCAAGGCCAUGUUGAGCAUAACCUGCAAUCAUCGAAUUCCAAGACACAAUAUCUUUAUUACCUGCCAUCUUCUUAAAUAUAAACAUUGCAUCUUCAACACUCCCACAUUUACAAUACAUAGAAAUAAGAGCAUUACAAAUAUAACUAUACGAAUCGAAACCCAUCUGAAUUACUUGACAAUGAGCACUUCUCCCUUGCCCCAAAGCUCCACUACCCGUACAAGCUCUCAAAAGACUUGUCAAUGUGAAAUCAUUUGGCUUUAAAGUCAAAUUCUUCAUCAUAUUAUAGAGCUCCAAACACAUAUCAAUCUGCCAUUCUUGCGCGAACCCAGCAAUGAUAGUAGUCCAAGAAACUACAUUUUUAACAGGCAUUUCAUCAAACACUUUGUAAGCCUCCUCCAACUCACCGCAUUUCCCAUAAGAAGUAACCAAAGAACUUCCCACAUAAACGUUUGGGAAGAACCCAGUUUUUAUUGCCAAGCAAUGAUACUGAAUUCCACCAUAAAGAUUACGUUUUGACCCGCAUGAACUUAUGGCAUUUGACAGAACAAUUGGAUUAAAUUUUGAAAUAUCUUUGUUUGUAACAGGAGGAGCUAGGAUUUCAUUGAAGAAGAUUGGGAGAUAUUCUGUUGGUGAAUCUGAAUAAACAAAAUCAUUGACAAAGUGUUGGGCAG